rnacentral:rRNA from 1 species
UACAGAGAGUGCGAACGUUGUUCGGAAUUACUGGGCUUAAAGCGCACGUAGGCGGCGCCGCAAGUGCGGGGUGAAAUCCCACGGCUUACCCGUGGAACUGCCUUGCAGACUGUGGUGCUAGAGGAUGGUAGGGGAGAGCGGAACUCCUGGUGGAGCGGUGAAAUGCGCAGAUAUCGGGAAGAACACCCGUGGCGAAGGCGGCUCUCUGGGACGGUACUGACGCUGAGACGCGAAAGCCAGGGGAUCAAACGGG